AUGCACAUGCUGUGAGCUCGAUGAGUAGGGCGGGACACGUGGUAUCCUGUCUGAAUAUGGGGGGACCAUCCUCCAAGGCUAAAUACUCCUGACUGACCGAUAGUGAACCAGUACCGUGAGGGAAAGGCGAAAAGAACCCCGGCGAGGGGAGUGAAAAAGAACCUGAAACCGUGUACGUACAAGCAGUGGGAGCACGCUUAGGCGUGUGACUGCGUACCUUUUGUAUAAUGGGUCAGCGACUUAUAUUCUGUAGCAAGGUUAACCGAAUAGGGGAGCCGAAGGGAAACCGAGUCUUAACUGGGCGUUAAGUUGCAGGGUAUAGACCCGAAACCCGGUGAUCUAGCCAUGGGCAGGUUGAAGGUUGGGUAACACUAACUGGAGGACCGAACCGACUAAUGUUGAAAAAUUAGCGGAUGACUUGUGGCUGGGGGUGAAAGGCCAAUCAAACCGGGAGAUAGCUGGUUCUCCCCGAAAGCUAUUUAGGUAGCGCCUCGUGAAUUCAUCUCCGGGGGUAGAGCACUGUUUCGGCAAGGGGGUCAUCCCGACUUACCAACCCGAUGCAAACUGCGAAUACCGGAGAAUGUUAUCACGGGAGACACACGGCGGGUGCUAACGUCCGUCGUGAAGAGGGAAACAACCCAGACCGCCAGCUAAGGUCCCAAAGUCAUGGUUAAGUGGGAAACGAUGUGGGAAGGCCCAGACAGCCAGGAUGUUGGCUUAGAAGCAGCCAUCAUUUAAAGAAAGCGUAAUAGCUCACUGGUCGAGUCGGCCUGCGCGGAAGAUGUAACGGGGCUAAACCAUGCACCGAAGCUGCGGCAGCGACGCUUAUGCGUUGUUGGGUAGGGGAGCGUUCUGUAAGCCUGUGAAGGUGUGCUGUGAGGCAUGCUGGAGGUAUCAGAAGUGCGAAUGCUGACAUAAGUAACGAUAAAGCGGGUGAAAAGCCCGCUCGCCGGAAGACCAAGGGUUCCUGUCCAACGUUAAUCGGGGCAGGGUGAGUCGACCCCUAAGGCGAGGCCGAAAGGCGUAGUCGAUGGGAAACAGGUUAAUAUUCCUGUACUUGGUGUUACUGCGAAGGGGGGACGGAGAAGGCUAUGUUGGCCGGGCGACGGUUGUCCCGGUUUAAGCGUGUAGGCUGGUUUUCCAGGCAAAUCCGGAAAAUCAAGGCUGAGGCGUGAUGACGAGGCACUACGGUGCUGAAGCAACAAAUGCCCUGCUUCCAGGAAAAGCCUCUAAGCAUCAGGUAACAUCAAAUCGUACCCCAAACCGACACAGGUGGUCAGGUAGAGAAUACCAAGGCGCUUGAGAGAACUCGGGUGAAGGAACUAGGCAAAAUGGUGCCGUAACUUCGGGAGAAGG
rnacentral:rRNA from 1 species